GAUGAACGCUGGCGGCGUGCCUAAUACAUGCAAGUCGAGCGAACAGACGAGGAGCUUGCUCCUUUGACGUUAGCGGCGGACGGGUGAGUAACACGUAGGUAACCUACCUAUAAGACUGGGAUAACUUCGGGAAACCGGAGCUAAUACCGGAUAAUAUUUUGAACCGCAUGGUUCGAUAGUGAAAGACGGCUUUGCUGUCACUUAUAGAUGGAUCUGCGCCGUAUUAGCUAGUUGGUAAGGUAACGGCUUACCAAGGCAACGAUACGUAGCCGACCUGAGAGGGUGAUCGGCCACACUGGAACUGAGACACGGUCCAGACUCCUACGGGAGGCAGCAGUAGGGAAUCUUCCGCAAAGGGCGAAAGCCUGACGGAGCAACGCCGCGUGAGUGAUGAAGGUCUUCGGAUCGUAAAACUCUGUUAUUAGGGAAGAACAAACGUGUAAGUAACUGUGCACGUCUUGACGGUACCUAAUCAGAAAGCCACGGCUAACUACGUG
rnacentral:rRNA from 1 species